CCCUUAGAUGUUCUGGGCAGCACGCGCGCUACAAUGGUCUUCGCAAACGGAUGCAUUCUCGAAGGAGAAUGCCAAUCUUGGAAUCUAUGCCUUGGUCGGGACAGUUGCUUGCAAUUUUUCGACUCGAACCAGGAAUUCCUUGUAAUCGUGAUUCAUCACAUCACGAUGAAUACGUCCCUGCCCUUUAUACACACCGCCCGUCGCUCCUACCGAUCGAAGAGUUAGGUGAAUUGUUUUGAUCGAUAAGAUUUGACUAUGGUCAACUCUCGUUGUGAAAUUCUGUGAAGCUGACUGUUUAGAGGAAGGAAAAGUCGUAACA
rnacentral:rRNA from 1 species